rnacentral:rRNA from 1 species
UACGGGGGGGGCAAGCGUUGUUCGGAAUUACUGGGCGUAAAGGGCUCGUAGGCGGCCAACUAAGUCAGACGUGAAAUCCCUCGGCUUAACCGGGGAACUGCAUCUGAUACUGGAUGGCUUGAGUUUGGGAGAGGGAUGCGGAAUUCCAGGUGUAGCGGUGAAAUGCGUAGAUAUCUGGAGGAACACCGGUGGCGAAGGCGGCAUCCUGGACCAACACUGACGCUGAGUGAGCGAAAGCCAGGGGAGCAAACGGG